GACGAACGCUGGCGGCGUGCUUAACACAUGCAAGUCGAACGGAAAGGCCCUGCUUUUGCGGGGUGCUCGAGUGGCGAACGGGUGAGUAACACGUGAGUAACCUGCCCUUGACUUUGGGAUAACUUCAGGAAACUGGGGCUAAUACCGGAUAGGAGCUCCUGCUGCAUGGUGGGGGUUGGAAAGUUUCGGCGGUUGGGGAUGGACUCGCGGCUUAUCAGCUUGUUGGUGGGGUAGUGGCUUACCAAGGCUUUGACGGGUAGCCGGCCUGAGAGGGUGACCGGCCACAUUGGGACUGAGAUACGGCCCAGACUCCUACGGGAGGCAGCAGUGGGGAAUAUUGCACAAUGGGCGGAAGCCUGAUGCAGCAACGCCGCGUGCGGGAUGACGGCCUUCGGGUUGUAAACCGCUUUCGCCUGUGACGAAGCGUGAGUGACGGUAAUGGGGAAAGAAGCACCGGCGAACUACGU
rnacentral:rRNA from 1 species